UACAACCCCUUCGACCCGGGAUAUGCUCCAUGACCCGCAUGCAUUUAAGAUACCAACCUAACAAAGCGAGAUGAGCCUACCCAGCAAAUCUCCCCCGAUAGCACACUAUGUUAUUGUUCCGGUGAGGGGACUUUGAGCAGCAUUGUCUAUUACACCAUUCCCCUUCUUCCCCCUUCCAUCGAUUUUAGCCCCAAUUUCAAUUGAUUUCAGCCCACGGUCCUCAUUACCCACGGCGGCUGACGUUUGUACGUACAACAACUGCGCCGACGAAUUUAGUGCGUUCGACCUAUCUGAGGCAUUUAUCGGCGGAUAAGCUCGAUUCUAGAUUGAAUCUCCAUGGCUGUUGAAGAUGACGAUCCUAAGGUACACCCAUUGCAUCAGUCAUCCACUUCGAAUUGUUUUGAAUUUCGUCUAUUUGUACCCAAUUUCGCAAAAUUGACGACGACUACGCGUGGGAUUACAUGGCACGAUUUGGCCUGGGUUUAAGUUUGGAAGCUGAUAAUGGAAUUUGCCGACGAUUGCCUUCAAUUAUGUUGGGUGACUGGAUUUUUAAGUUAUGGGUGUCAAUUGCAUUAUACGUCUUGAUAGAAACAUGAAUGUUGGCUUUGAUGUUAGGAAUUAGUUCACAAUUGGGCAGGAUCGAAUAGUGAGUGAAUGGUUUCGUUAAUUGAGUGUCUUUUGAUUUCGAACGUAUGCUGCGUAUCAGGAACGAAUAGAUGGGCAUUCACACUUGAUUAUACAUACAAUUAACUAAUACCAGCUUGUGUAGAAGUUCUUGUGUUUAGUGAUGAUUCUUUGUUCAUAAGCCUAUUGUGUGUGUCAAACAUUCGACAAGAUUCUGGGACAUUGUGAAGUUUAUGAUCUCUGCAUUCACUUGCAAA